AUUUAUGUAGAUGCAUGAAGAGUCGCAAGGACUUUUGCGAACGUGCCGCAAUGAAUGCAGAGGAACUAAACAACAAAUUAGCAAUAAACUAUUAUCAGCGAUAAUAUUCAAUAGUUUAAGUACAUUUUUUAAUAUUUAAAGAGUAUAUAAAUAAACCUAUUCCUAAUUAACGACAAUUAAGUCUAAGCCGUUCAUUUGGAUUGAUGUCUGUUAAUUAAAAUUCACAUUCAGUGUAACAAUGAGUUAUUGCCGGUUUUUUUUAAUUACUGCCGUGAUUACGAUUUGUUUUCAUAGUGCCAAUAGUUUUGGAUACUGUUGUGAAGAUUGUGACGACAAUCCCAGUGAUUUCUUCUUGCAAGCAUUCUGUGACUUAUUUUGUGAAGAUGAUAGCGAAGAAUCUAUGACAACUAUGAAAAUGGAGACCACCACAGCGGCUACAACAACCACAACGACUGCAGCGCCCGCAGCGGGUGGAAACGGUGGCGGUGGCGGCGAUGAUGCAUCUACAACCACUGCUGCACCAGCGAAGAAAAGAAAGUAAAAACGAUAUUAUAGAUAUGUCUAAUGGAGAUUUUGAAUUUUCAUUGUUUCCAUGAUUAUAUAAUAUUAUCCAAUUUAUAAAUACACAAAGUUAGUGUAAAUUGCAUAUUAUACGAAAAAUUCAAAGAACCGACAUUAAUUUUAGCAAAUUUACUAGAGUCACUUAACAAUUCUUAUCAAUAAAAGGAAUAUUAUAAUUU